GACGAACGCUGGCGGCGUGCUUAACACAUGCAAGUCGAACGGAAAGGCCCUGCUUUUGUGGGGUGCUCGAGUGGCGAACGGGUGAGUAACACGUGAGUAACCUGCCCUUGACUUUGGGAUAACUUCAGGAAACUGGGGCUAAUACCGGAUAGGAGCUCCUGCUGCAUGGUGGGGGUUGGAAAGUUUCGGCGGUUGGGUAUGGACUCGCGGCUUAUCAGCUUGUUGGUGGGGUAGUGGCUUACAAAGGCUUUGACGGGUAGCCGGCCUGAGAGGGCGACCGGCCAAAGGGGAAUAGGGAAAGGACCAGGACGCCAACGGGAGAGAGGAGGGGGAAAAUUUGCAAAAAGGGGGGAGGGAGGGAGCAACAACGCCGGGUGGGAGAAGACGGCUAUGAGGGUGGAAACCGUUUGCACGUGUAACGAAGCGUGAGUAAGGGAAAUGGGUAAAAAAACACCGGCAAACAACGU
rnacentral:rRNA from 1 species